rnacentral:rRNA from 1 species
GAUGAACGCUAGCGGCAGGCUUAAUACAUGCAAGUCGAGGGGCAGCACGGUUAGCAAUAACUGGUGGCGACCGGCGCACGGGUGCGUAACACGUAUACAAUCUACCUUAAACAGGGGGAUAGCCUUUCGAAAGAGAGAUUAAUACCCCGUAAUAAAUUGAACGGCAUCGUUUGAUUUUGAAAGCUCCGGCGGUUUGAGAUGAGUAUGCGUCUGAUUAGCUAGUUGGUGAGGUAACGGCUCACCAAGGCGACGAUCAGUAGGGGAUCUGAGAGGACUAACCCCCACACUGGUACUGAGACACGGACCAGACUCCUACGGGAGGCAGCAGUAAGGAAUAUUGGUCAAUGGAGGCAACUCUGAACCAGCCAUGCCGCGUGCAGGAUGACGGCCCUAUGGUUGUAAACUGCUUUUAUACAAGAGAAAACCCUGGUACGUGUAACCAGGUUGAUAGUAUUGUAAGAAUAAGCAUCGGCUAACUUCGUGCCAGCAGCCGCGGU